ACAAGCUCGGGGUGUGUGUUCACAAGCUCAGCAAAAGCGCCGGCCACGCCACUCAUAAUUCUGAAGGACUUCCGUCCUUUACGAUUGUGUGCUUUAUAAUGUUUGUUCACAUGGACUGGGAGUGUGCCCCGACUGGCGUGAGUGAGUGAAUGAGGCGCGUGCGGAGGAACAGACGGACGUAGCCGUCCGCCUACCCCUGUGCUGUGUUUCGGCUCGGUCAGGGUCCCCG
rnacentral:lncRNA from 1 species